AGUGAACGCUGGCGGUAGGCCUAACACAUGCAAGUCGAACGGCAGCACAGUAAGAGCUUGCUCUUACGGGUGGCGAGUGGCGGACGGGUGAGGAAUACAUCGGAAUCUACUUUUUCGUGGGGGAUAACGUAGGGAAACUUACGCUAAUACCGCAUACGACCUACGGGUGAAAGCAGGGGAUCUUCGGACCUUGCGCGAUUGAAUGAGCCGAUGUCGGAUUAGCUAGUUGGCGGGGUAAAGGCCCACCAAGGCGACGAUCCGUAGCUGGUCUGAGAGGAUGAUCGGCCACACUGGAACUGAGACACGGUCCAGGCUCCUACGGGAGGCAGCAGUGGGGAAUAUUGGACAAUGGGCGCAAGCCUGAUCCAGCCAUACCGCGUGGGUGAAGAAGGCCUUCGGGUUGUAAAGCCCUUUUGUUGGGAAAGAAAAGCAGCAGGUUAAUACCCCGCUGUUCUGACGGUACCCAAAGAAUAAGCACCGGCUAACUUCGUG
rnacentral:rRNA from 1 species